rnacentral:pre_miRNA from 1 species
AGUACAAUUGCUAGGUCAUAUGGUAAUUGCAUGUUUUAUUUUUAUAAGAAACUGACAUGCUUUUUUUCCAAAGAGGCUGUGCCAUUUGCAUUCCCACCAGCAAU